UACGGAGGGUGCAAGCGUUAUCCGGAUUCACUGGGUUUAAAGGGUGCGUAGGUGGGCAGGUAAGUCAGUGGUGAAAUCUCCGGGCUUAACCCGGAAACUGCCAUUGAUACUAUCUGUCUUGAAUACCGUGGAGGUGAGCGGAAUAUGUCAUGUAGCGGUGAAAUGCUUAGAUAUGACAUAGAACACCGAUAGCGAAGGCAGCUUGCUACACGAGUAUUGACGCUGAGGCACGAAAGCGUGGGGAUCAAACAGG
rnacentral:rRNA from 1 species